UACGUAGGGCGCAAGCGUUAUCCGGAAUUAUUGGGCGUAAAGAGCUCGUAGGCGGUUUGUCGCGUCUGUCGUGAAAUCCCGAGGCUUAACCUUGGGUCUGCGGUGGGUACGGGCAGGCUAGAGUGAUGUAGGGGAGACUGGAAUUCCUGGUGUAGCGGUGAAAUGCGCAGAUAUCAGGAGGAACACCGAUGGCGAAGGCAGGUCUCUGGGCAUUAACUGACGCUGAGGAGCGAAAGCAUGGGGAUCAAACAGG
rnacentral:rRNA from 1 species